rnacentral:rRNA from 1 species
UACGUAGGGUGCAAGCGUUGUCCGGAAUUAUUGGGCGUAAAGAGCUCGUAGGCGGUUUGUUGUGUCGGCUGUGAAAUCCCGAGGCUCAACCUCGGGUCUGCAGUCGAUACGAGCAAACUAGAGUGUUGCAGGGGAGACUGGAAUUCCUGGUGUAGCGGUGGAAUGCGCAGAUAUCAGGAGGAACACCGGUGGCGAAGGCGGGUCUCUGGGCCGAUACUGACGCUGAGGAGCGAAAGCGUGGGGAGCGAACAGG